rnacentral:siRNA from 1 species
GGGACAACGAGAAUUGGUGUA